rnacentral:rRNA from 1 species
GCUGACGGGUAUUCGGGAUUACUGGGCGUAAGCGCGCGUAGGCGGUUUAUUAAGUCAGAUGUGAAAGCCCGGGCUCAACCUGGGAAUUGCAUUUGAGACUGGUAGGCUAGAGUGUGGUAGAGGUGAGUGGAAUUUCAGGUGUAGCGGUGAAAUGCGUAGAGAUCUGAAGGAACAUCAGUGGCGAAGGCGACUCACUGGGCCAUUACUGACGCUGAGGUGCGAAAGCGUGGGUAGCAAACAGGAUUAGAUACCCUGGUAGUCCACGCCCUAAACGAUGUCAACUAGGUGUAUGGAGAAUUUAUUCUUUGUGUAUCGAAGCUAACGCGAUAAGUUGACCGCCUGGGGAGUACGGUCGCAAGACUAAAACUCAAAUGAAUUGACGGGGGCCCGCACAAGCGGUGGAGCAUGUGGUUUAAUUCGAUGCAACGCGAAGAACCUUACCUGGCCUUGACAUGUACGGAAGAUUGAAGAGAUUCGAUUGUGCCUUCGGGAACCGU